UUGGUUUAUUUCCACCUCUUUAAGAAAGUUUUUUGGUUUGUCAAGUCUUGAUAGAGAUGGAUAUCGCGGUACGUUAUCUCGCCCUCUUAGUCUGUCACUACCUUGUCCUUUGAUGCUUGUGCCAUUUGCGUGAGAGGCGGUGUUAGGGUCCGGCUUUUGGUAGAAUGCUUGGGUGCCACUCCUUACCACUGAUAAUUGUGCACAUGACCAUGGCUGCGUAAGGUCUUGGGCGAUAGGGUGUGUGGUUGUGGUCAUUGUCUCUGAUCUUGUUUGUUGUUUUCUUUUGUCUCCAAGGAUCGAUGGUCGCCUUUUUUGUUAGAGGGCGAGAAGAUUAUUACCAAGUUUGAUGGUAUUCGUUUACGAAACACAAAUGAGGAUGACAUUCUCCUAGUGACGAAUUUCCAGUUUCUUUUCAUGAGUAAAGAAACAAAAAGCAAGUUGGGUACCAUCCCUCUUACUACAGUUGAGCAAAUAAAGG